rnacentral:rRNA from 1 species
UACGUAGGGUGCGAGCGUUAAUCGGAAUUACUGGGCGUAAAGCGUGCGCAGGCGGUUUUGUAAGCCAGAUGUGAAAGCCCCGGGCUUAACCUGGGAAUGGCAUUUGGGACUGCAAGGCUUGAGUGCGGCAGAGGAGACUGGAAUUCCUGGUGUAGCAGUGAAAUGCGUAGAUAUAAGGAGGAAUACCGAUGGCGAAGGCAGGUCUCUGGGCUGACACUGACGCUCAUGCACGAAAGCGUGGGGAGCAAACAGG